rnacentral:lncRNA from 13 species
UGACUCCAUGGUGAAGCAUGAGUCCGUAUCCAAUAAUCAGAAGAUGAUGUCCAACUUGUGUUUUUCUAGGUACUUGCUUAUCCACUAGGUGGCAGUGACGAUCUGCAGAGAGAAGUGCUGAAGCGCACAACUAGUAGUGAUUGCAAAUAGGCUGCAUUUAGCGCUCAAGCUCUUGAGUUGUAUAGUGCUCUGCAGCAUUGGGACACAGCCUUGGAGCUAUACGCCGUCUGAGCAUCACUUCUACCAAAAGACAAUACUGCCUUCUCAAGAAAUUAUUGCAAAAAGACCUGCACUAGAAGUACAUUGACAUUCAGGAGAGGUUUUGGAGCUGACGAGGACAACAUGAAUUGCUUCUGGAUACACACAAUUUGGAUCCCGGGAUUCUUUUUCUUCUUUGGAUUUCAAGGUAAGUGGGAGAGCUCUUUACACCUGUGUGUGUGCCAGAGGGGAAACGGAGGAACAUUAUCCUCUUGGGUGUUCAGGGACUUCAGAAGAGACACAGUAAGACAACAGCUCCUCGCUGUACUCAGCACUCAGCAUUACAUGAUGUUCCUGCUCUUCUGCUUCUCUUUCCAGGAUACCACACACAGAGGAACAUGUUCUUUGAAUGUUGCAUUUCAAGCUGUUUAAUUGGGACUUCGAGUCACAUCGGAAUGAAUUGGGAAAAUCAAAUUUGUUUUCAAUAGUCGUGAUUGAUGAGGAACUAGGUGCAGAGACUUUUUGAGAUCCUAUUAUUGGGAGAUUGAUGAUAUGUUACAUUUGAUGAUAGGCUUAACAUGACCUAAAGUACAUAUACAGUACUACAGUACUAUAGUUACUCAUGCAUAUUAUAUCACUCUGAACUUGUAGUUAACUUGAACCAGAUACAUUUAGUUUAAACCAGAAACUUUUAUUUUGGUCAAUGACCAAGUAGUGCUCAAGACGAUUUUGUGCAGAAGGGCACCUUUACUUAUUCUAGGCUCUGUGGUGGUCAUAGCAUGCACUGGAGCCCAGAGGAUUGCUCUAUUUUGCUAAGUAGACCUUCUUUAGCGGGAUUGCAUGGGCCUCAGACGUCAGGGGGUUGUGUUAAAUAAAAUGGCUCUAGGCCUUGUCUUUGACACUGGUUUCCGCUUCUAUUAUGUCACCCGUACAAGGAUGUAGAACGUGUGGAUCAGAAUGAUGAGGCUGGCCGCUUUUUCCACAAGAAUAUUUGCUAAAAGCAGGUGACACAUGGACGUGUGCUAGCCUCUGAGGCACAGCAAUGACAAAUUGAAGGUAGAGGAUGUGACUGAAAUGUCAGUUCUGAGAUGAAGACAUACCUCUUGUGACCGAGUAAGUAAAACAGUUGUGAAAUGGUGCCUGUUAGUUUUCAUUGUAAUUUAGGUUCCACCAAUAUGUAGCCAACAACAGUCGUGAAGCUGACAUAGGCUAUAACUAAUAUAGUAUGUCAGCCAAGGUGACAUACAGAUCCUUCAGAAAGUAUUCACACCCCUUGACUUUUUCCACAUUUUGUUGUGUUACAGCCUGAAUUUAAAAUUGAUUAAAUUGAGAUUGUGUCACUGGCCUACACACAAUACCCCAUAAUCUCAAAGUGUAUGUUUGUUGUUGUUGACAUUUUCACAAAUGAAUUAAAGAUGAAAAGCUGAAAAGUAUUCAACCCCUUUGUUAUGGCAAGCAUAAAUAAGUUCAGGAGUAGAAAUGUGCUUAACAAGUCACAUAGACUCACUUUGUGUGCAAUAAUAGUGUUUAACAUGAUUGUUAAAUAGCUACAGUACCUCAUCUUUGUACACCACACAUACAAUACAACCUGUAAGGUCCCUCAGUCGAGCAGUCCAUUUCAAACAGAGAUUCAACCACAAAGACCAGGGAGGUUUUCCUAUACCUCGCAAAGAGCCUAUUGCUAGAUUGGCCCCCCAAAAAAAGAAGCAGACAUUGAAUAUCCCUUUGUGUAUUAUUACUUACUCUUUGGAUGGUGUUUCAAUACAGGCUUUCUUCCUAACUCAUUUGCUGGAGAGUAAGGAAACUGGCCAGGGAUUUCUCCAUGAAGCUAAUGAUGAUUUUAAGACACUGGGGUUCCUGAGUGGCGCAGCGGUCUAAGGCACUGCAUCUCCGUGUUAGAGGCAUCACUAAAGCCACCCUGGUUCGAAACCAGGCUGCAUCACAACCAGACAUGUUUUAGAGUCCGACAGGGCGGUGCACAAUUGGCCCAGCAUCGUCACAGUAAAUAAGAAUUUGUUCUUAACUAACUUGCCUAGUUAAAUAACGGUUCCAAUGGUUAUGAUAGGAGAAAACUGAAUUUGGAUCAACAACAUUGUUGUUAUUCCACAACACUAACAUAAAUGACAGAGUGAAAAGAAGGAACUCUGUACAGAAUACAAAUAUUCCAAUAUUUCAAUAAGGCAUUAAAGUAAAACUUCAAAACAUUUGGCAAAGAAAUUAACUUUAUGUCCCGAAUACAAAGCGUUAUGUUUGGGGCAAAUCCAACACAACACAUCACUGAGUAGCACUCUUCAUAAUUUCAAGCAUGGUGUUGGCUGCUUCAUGUUAUGGGUAUGCCUGUCAUCAUCAUGGACUGGGAACAUUUUCAGGAUAAAAAAUAAAUGGAAUGGAGCUCAGCACAGGCAAAAUCCUAGAGGAAACAGGCAAAAUCCUAGAGGAAACCCUGGUUCAGUCUGCUUAACACCAGACACUGGGAGAGAAAUUCACCUUUCAGCAGGACAAUAACCUAAAACACAGGCCAAAUAUACACUGCUUACCAAGGUUAGUUUGAACAUUCCUGAGUGGCCUAAUUACAAUUUUGCCAUAAAUCGAUUUGAAUAUCUAUAGCAAGACUUAUAGCUGUCUAGCAAUGAUGAACAACCAACUUGACAGAGCUUGAAGAAUUAAAAAAAUAAUAAAAUGUACAAUCCAGGUGAGCAAAGCUCUUAGAGACUUGCCCAGAAAGACUCACAGCUGUAAUCGCUGCCAAAUGUGACUCUAACAUGUAUUGACUCAGGGGGUUGAAUACUUAUCUAAUCAAUAUAUAUAUAUAUAAGUGCUUUCUUUACUGUGAUUUCUUAUCCCAUUUUUUUUUCAUUUUGUAGAGUAUUUUGUGUAGAUCGCUGACAGAAAAUUACAAUGAAAUAAAAUGUUAUCCCACUUUAUCCCAAAUGUGUAAAAAAAGUCGAGGGUUGUGAAAAUUUUCGAAAGUUACUGUAUAAAUGCAAUGGUUAAAUGUCACUUUUGACAUUUUCUAACGACACCAUGUUGCAGCACGUAAAGAUCACACUAAAACUGCAAUGCAAGGAUGCCUCUGUAUGGCCUGUUGUGAUGUGUUGUUGUCUGUUGAAACAAUCCAUGUAUUUUGUUUGACCCGCUCCCAUGAAACUGGACCAAUUACUGUACAUCAUUAAGUCCUUUAGAAAUGAUUAAGCAUCAAUCAUUAAUAAACAAACUGGUACCAUGCGACCAUCUACGUAUCAACAAAACAAUAUACAUACAUUAUUGAUUUGUUUCAUUUUCAUAAUGAUGAUGACAAUAUUUCACUUACAGUUUUUUUGUCAGAUAUAUUGUGGUGGUAUGGUAAAGUUAUCUUCUGUCUGCUAAAAAUAUGUUUCCCAGAACAAUGCUGCUUCACAUAGACGUCAGGGUCAUUUAUAUGAAACAAUUUUGGAGGAGUACAGCAGUUGGCAGUUGCAUUACGUGCAUUACAUUCAUCCAAUGCACCAAUUUCACAUAGUUGUAUGCAGAUCCAAAGUAAACAAUUGCUGCCAUCUCAUGGACCUUAUUGCUAAAAAGACAAGUCUCCUGCUGCAAGUAUUAUAUAAUCCCUAUUUUGUCCACGUCAGCGCAGUGUAAUGGACGGAAGAUGUCGCCCCAGCUGUUUAAUUCACAGUAAGCAUGUAGUUAGGAUGAAGGAUUGGACACUUAUUUCUCUAAGGUUUUCCUCUCUGGUGUAUUAUGGCUCUAUCGUCUGUGGCUAGAGUCUCUGAGCCUACUAUACUCAACAUGGCAGACAUGGUGCAGCUGUCUCUCUGGCCUUGUCCAAGUACUCAUACUCUAACUGCCCUCUUUCUUUCUUUGGUUUUUCCCUUCUUUCCUGCUGUCAUUUCUUCUUCCUUCCUUUCUUUGUUUGUUCCUUCCUUUCUUUCUCCCAACCCUCCUUUAAUUGAGUACCGCUCUGAAAGAGUGUAUAGGUAGGUCAAAGAAAUUGCUAGAAACUACUGAGGGAUCACCACCAUAUCAGCAUCACACCUCUAGUACUCUCAGAACAGUAUUCAAGGUAGGAUAGAGGGACAUAGGGAGAGGAUAAGAAAGAGAAGCACUAUAUGUUGAUUAGGUAACUUAACUUCCCCCUGGUUUCCUCUCUGACUAAGUCUGUGUGUUGCAGUCUGCUGUGUAGGAGC